AUCCUGGGUAAUAAGUCAGCCCUCUUUUUCUGUGCAAACUUCCUAUAGCUACCCCUUGCUACAUUGAUUACAUUUAAACGAUAACAUCCUCUUAACUGAUUACUGAAGCAACGGAUGGAUCACGUGACCUAGACAGAUCUCAAAAAUGGGAGACCAUAUGCAAAUGAAACUACAUUUUUACAACACAUGGUUGGAGAGGUCAAAGAAAAUGUGAUGUAUUACUUUCAAUUUUAUCAUCAGCGGGACCAUCUAGGGCUAGUGGUGGGGCUCUGAAUUACAGCAAUGACCUCGACUUGCAUUUACUA
rnacentral:lncRNA from 1 species